CCUUUGUCCCAGCCGCGUUGCUCAGUGGAUAGAGCACCAUAAGGAGACGCCUCAGACGGGUGGCUCCAAUGGAAUCCACUCUCUUACAGCUUCGGAACAGUGAGAGAAUAACUGUCUGGAUGAAGCCGCCGGAUGGAUCCUCCAGACACGGCCCCGUGUGUCCGCAGGGGCGCUUGCCUGUCACCGCCACCUGUCCUCCUGUCUGCGUGUCCCAGGUGCUUUCUGGGGGGGCCUUUCCCAGGCCCCUCUGCCUCUGGCGUCCUUGAUCGCACGUGCCACCACUGUCCACGUGACCCAUGUGCGCUUCCCAUCUCCUCCUGGAAUGUGAGCGUCAUGAGCACGGGGACCCUGA